rnacentral:lncRNA from 1 species
AUUUAUUGAUUGAUUUAUUCCUGCAGAUUUCAAAGAGCAGACAUUUAUUCCAGGCAAUGAUGUGAUUUUACAGUGUGGAAAUGUCACUGAUAUCAACUGGAAUGAAUUAAUUUAUAUCGUCUGGAACAUCAGCCUGCAAGACAGAAAAUGUUGGCUUGGUUUGUCUCCCAAGCUGGACGACAAAUGUAAAGAUGGAAAGAGGCUGUACAACACCUCAGAUGGAGUUUACUUAGUCAUUCCCAAGAUUUCAACAGAAGAUGAAGGAUUUUAUUCUUGUGAUGUAUCGUAUAAAGCAGGAAGCUAUGCUGUAAAUGUGUCUGUAAACGUUAUCAACGUUUCCACCCAGCUGUACAGAGAAAAGAUUGCUGUCUGUCGGGCCACAUACACACAAAAGACAGCACCCACUCUUCAUUGGGAACCUGCCUUGAACUUUUCCACCAGUAUCAGCUCUGUUGAGAAGCUUGGCAGGUUUUUUAUGAUGGAGAAUCGAAUAUAUCUGCCGGACAAUGUCAACAUCAGUGAGCUCACCUGUGUGGCCACAUACACCUCCAAGUCCGGCUCUGUUCAGCACAAGAGCACACUUCAUCUUAAACAAAAUUCAUCAACUGGAACACAAGAAACUUCCUCUUUUCCAUCGAAAAUUAUUGCCAUAUCAGUUGGUUCUGUUUGUUUUAUUCUUGUAUCUCUGGCCGUGGUUUACAUACUCUGCAGAAAGCUUAAAGACUUAAGUGCACUGAAGAUGCUUUGCUGCAAAUCCAAAAUCUCAACACCAGCUGAAGACAAACCACCCCAGGUAAGAUGUCUCUAUCAAACCCUGUUUUUUAUAUUACA